GCUGUUCUCUGCGACAGCAUGUCCCCAUGAGCCAGCGCCCUGCAUGACUAGAAGGUGCUUAAUUAAGAGCCUAGGACUCCCCAGCCAUACUAACUGUGUACAGGUGUGGAACAACAGCUUCCAGCUGGUUGUGCAUUGUGCAGAAGUUUUCAUGCGCUGAUCGGAUGGGUGGAAAGCACUGGCUGUAUGUGCCAUGUCUGGUGUCAGGGCACUGGGCUACGCAUUAACUCUCACAGUAAAAAUAGUGGAGAAAAUCAA